rnacentral:rRNA from 1 species
UGCCAGCAGCCGCGGUAAUACGGAGGGGGCAAGCGUUGCUCGGAAUCACUGGGCGUAAAGCGCACGUAGGCGGACUGAUCAGUUGGGGGUGAAAUCCCAGGGCUCAACCCUGGAACUGCCUUCAAUACUGUUAGUCUUGAGUCCGAGAGAGGUGAGUGGAAUUCCUAGUGUAGAGGUGAAAUUCGUAGAUAUUAGGAAGAACACCAGUGGCGAAGGCGGCUCACUGGCUCGGUACUGACGCUGAGGUGCGAAAGCGUGGGUAGCGAACGGGAUUAGAUA